rfam:Camelus ferus unplaced genomic scaffold scaffold365, whole genome shotgun sequence.
GAGGAUAUAGCUCAGUGGUAGAGUGCAUGCUUAGCAUAAAUGAGGUCCUGGGUUCAAUCCCCAGUAUCUCCA